GUGUGGAGAAUCUACAAAACAAAUCGUUAAAAACGGAAAACUAUGGAUGGAGAAGGAAGUCAUGAAGGCUUUUAAGAAGUGCAUCAUAGAAGGGGAGGGAUUGAGAGGUGUGGAGUUUGAACUAGACGAGCUUCUGCACCAGUGUUUCAGUGUAGAGACACAUGAGAAGAUGUUCCACCACGCUACAACUUCGCGGUGAAGACGAAGGAAGCUGGCUCACACAAGUGGUCAUCAACUCUCUAUUUUGCGCAAGUGAAAGAAAUGUAUGGUCGAAAGAUGGCCUCUAUUACGCAUGCAAGAAUCAGGGGAUGGAUGCACUGCGGCACCCUGCCGUUCCUAUCGGAUACGAGACUGGCCAGCCUGGUGCGGGACGUGCCUUCGUUGAUGACAACUCUGAUGAUGAUUGUAGUAUAAAACUAGACAAUGAUGAUUUUGUGCGGGCCUUUGAACAGGUCUUCUGUAAGCGAGCACCCUCAUGAGUGCAUUUUUUGGUGUCUGUAAUAGUGAGUUAUUUUUCAUGUUAGGAGCAACGGCGACUAGCAUGUGCUCUAGUUGUGCAAAUGCCACUCGACAAUACUCACUGCGCUGAGACAUGUAGGCGUACUCAGAUCGCUGAAUUGAACUUUGAUGGUGGACUUCU